UNUCAGUGUGCACUCUGGAAACUGGCCUAAU
rnacentral:piRNA from 1 species